rnacentral:lncRNA from 13 species
CGCGUAAAAGGCUUCUCGCUGCAGGGAGCCUAUAAAUGGAAAUGUGCAUUCUGAGUGCAGGUUUUGCUGCAAUUUUUUUCAUCAAGUACGGUCUCCGAAUACGGUGUCUUCACUCCCUGUCGACUGCAUUAAAAUUCUCUGACUACAUCACAACAAUGAACAAGCCCUGACUGCAGUGGUCCAUUAAAGAAGAAAAGUCCAUGCUGGGAAUACUCUGGACCCCUCCGUGGUGACGGAGCAAGCCCACGCUUCUGGAAGAAUGGCAAAACCCAAGCUAACUGAAAUAACAAGAAGGAAUUGUUGUUGACUUUUAACCCAUAAAUUCUCUUAGAAUUUAGUUUCCCUGAAAUGAGUUAUUUGCUUUGUGAUGCUUGUUACUUGCUGUAUCGAUUAUGCUUGAGAAAAUAAAGGACAAUGUGAAAUGCUGAGAUGUGACUUG